AAACUUAUCAAAUCUAUCACAAUUGUGAUCUACAUGUUUUUAAGUAAAAGAAAACAUUUGGUUUUUGACAUAUUAUAUCUUAAACUAAAUAUAAAUUAAUCUCGAAGCCGCGGCUAAAAAAUCGAGUUUUUCCCACUUAAAGCGAAGAAUAUAGCUAAAAGUGACGGCUAACAUUUGGAUAUGUCGGUUUCUUCCGUCAUUCGUAGUUUGGCUCGGUCCAUGACCUCGGUCUCACCCCAAGUUGGAUAUAC
rnacentral:sRNA from 1 species